rnacentral:rRNA from 1 species
CGCCCGGUUACAUUCCGAACCCGGAAGCUAAGCCUUACAGCGCCGAUGGUACUGCAGGGGGGACCCUGUGGGAGAGUAGGACGCCGCCGAACA